UGUAGGAGGCAGUUAAAAAUGGGCACAUAUUUUUUUCAAAAUGUCUCAAUACUGCCCCCGAGCCCCAACAGGUUUUUAAGCGCGUGCACCCAAUAGAGGCUCCCCCGACUGUGACGGUUGUAGAGACUUCUCCUGUAUGUGUUGUGACUAACCACUGUUUGCAUCUAGAACAUGCAUUUCCAUUAGUAUUUUUGGGCAGUUUUUAUAGUCCUUCACCGCUGUUUGUCUCACCAGCACAGCGUGUUAUCAGCGUUCAGACUUUCACACUGUUAUUUUUGUCCCCUGCAGGGUGAGCUCGUCAACUUUGAGAAUAGGUGACAGACUGUUCCAAGGAGUUGGCUCCUCAGCAGCCAGUUCCCCAUUGAGUGAAACACAGCCUGGCCCGCCCUGCAUGUACAGUCACUUGGUCUUCCUGAUGACCAUGUCCCUCGUCUAAAACACCCAGGCCUCCUGCAUCAUCCUAGUAAGCCUGUGUUAUACCAUGAACACCUCAGCCAACUUUGACUUCCUGCUGUAUGUGCGGGGCAGCCAGUCCAGCUGAGGAGUUGCUGUGCCUCCCGGCGCCCAACAGUGCCCCCCCCCCAGAGAUGCUGGGAGACUGGAAGGACCAAACAUGGGGGAAUGAGUUGAAGUCAAUGAGGUAGACUCUGAAUGACCUAUUCCCUUGUCCCCAAUUGGACCCCCACAUCUCUGCCCCCCUCCCCCACACCAGUAGCAGACUGUGGCCUUCCUGUCCGCUGUGUACCAGUAUGCACUGUGUGUACCACGCAGGGAUGCACCUCUCAUUGUGAGCUGUACUACUUGUUUUUAACAAGUUAUUUCCUUUUUAAUAUUGUCUAGCUGUCCUAUCUCACCUUUAGGGUGUAGUGACACAUAGGAUGGGACUCUGUGAGGCCCGGAUUGUGCUGCCUGAUGCAUUGAUUAGCAGUCCUAAUAGAAAUGCAUUUGUUUGGGUGACUUCAGGAGGUGGGAAGUAGAUGGAAUGAGUGACCUACUCUUGUCUAAUCUUAAACUCUGUUCACCUCAGAACAAAAUGGAGUAUCAUUUAGUUUCUCUUUGAUUCGUUUUUUUUUUACAGGGCAGAAAAACGUGUCACACACAAUGUACAAAUCAUUAGGAACACCUCUUUCCAUGACACUGACCAGGUGAAUCCAGGUGAAGGCUAUGAUCCCUUAUUGAUGUCAUCUGUUAAAUCCACUUCAAUCAGUGUAGAUGAAGGGGAGGACACAGGUUAAAGAAGGAUUUUUAAGCCUUGCAAUAAUUGAGAGAUGGAUUAUGUAUUUGCCGCUCCGAGGGUGAAUGGACAAGACAAAAAGAUUUAAGUGCCUUUUGAAUGGGCUAUGGUAGUAGGUGCCAGGCGCACCGGUUUGAGUGUGUCAAAAACAUCCCUGUGGUACGCUUUUAACACCUUAUAGAGUCCAUCCCCAACAAAUUGAGAUUGGUCUGAGGGCAAAAUGGGGUGCAACUAAAUAUUAGGAAGGUGUAAUGUUUUGUACACCAGUGUAUGUCAAUCGAACUCGUGGAGGGUGACUGAGGACAAUGUUUUUAAAUUGUAUGUUAAUUCCGAUCCUGUUCAGCCUGUCAACGUGGCUGAAUGUGGCCCUGGGUAAGAGCAUUUUAGAGCCCUCUUCUUGGCGUCACUUUUUCUUUUAAAGUUAAUUUCUUGCAAUUGUAGCUACACAUUUUUCCAUGGAGCUUUGAGAAAAUGUUGCGGUUUGAAAGUUUAAAUGGCAUUUGUACAUUCAUCACUUUUGUUUUCAAGGAUUUAUACCAGCACUAGUGCUUGUUUUAAUAAUAUUUUUUUUUUUAAUUUAUAAGUUGAUAGUAAUUUUGUGAAGAGAAACAACUUUUUGCCGAAAGAGGAACUAUGUUUCUGGUUUCAUUUUAACCAAGCGAGUUUGGCGUGAUACAGCCUCAUUAUCUACACGAGUGCCUCCCACCGUGGGGUAAGGAAUAGUAUGUUUCAUUUCAAGCUUUGAGCAGUGAAAAUCUACGUAGCAGGCAAAAGAAAACGCCCAUUGUGACAUACGGCAUUCACGUAUUGCGUUGUACGCCGUUUGCAGGAACUGUAAAGUGUGCCGAGCCUCUUACAGGGUGUUCAGUUGGAAAUGUACUGUGCAGAACAGACUGUCAUUCAGAAUAGGCAUGUCCGUUCUUACAUGACUUUUCUAUCUACAACAUUCUGAACAGCCAGCUCCCUGUGCACCGAGCCUCACCCAAACACUCACCACCAAUAGUUUGAGUCACAGACGAUAUGAAUGACGUUUUCACACUAGCCCACACUGAGACGAAUUCAGUUCCUCCUGUGUCUAGGCAUCUACACACCGCCACUCACACCCCUUUUUAACGGAAUCCCACAGAUACCGGCUCCCACACACUGCCUAACCAGCAUUAACACCUCCACCCCACCUGUCUAACCCCCACAGUGAAGCCAGUCCCUACCAUAUACACUCCUACGUUUCAUACCUAUUCUCUCCAUCACACUGGUAAUUACUAUAACGCUCAUUCUCUAAUACUGACAUUCUGGCCAUCUCACUGAGCAGUGUACUGGUCUGUUAUUGGUCAUUCAGUACUAAAUGCUGGGCAAGAUGUACUAUGGUUGAUUCUCAUGCAACACUUGUGAAUUUUCUCUCAUGAACUCAGUUUCUGUGCGUCUUCACUGCCAAAAUUCUCUACCUAAAAUAAAUGAUCUUCACUAUGA